UAGCAUAUCAAUAAGCGGAGGAAAAGAAACCAACAGGGAUUGCCUCAGUAACGGCGAGUGAAGCGGCAACAGCUCAAAUUUGAAAUCUGGCCUCUCGGGGUCCGAGUUGUAAUUUGUAGAGGAUGUUUCGGGUACCGCCUCGGUUUAAAUUUCUUGGAACAGAAUGUCAAAGAGGGUGAGAAUCCCGUCUUGGACCGGCGGUAGGGCCUAUGUGAAACUCCUUCGACGAGUCGAGUUGUUUGGGAAUGCAGCUCAAAAUGGGUGGUAAAUUUCAUCUAAAGCUAAAUAUUGGCCAGAGACCGAUAGCGCACAAGUAGAGUGAUCGAAAGAUGAAAAGCACUUUGAAAAGAGAGUUAAACAGUAUGUGAAAUUGUUGAAAGGGAAGCGCUUGCAACCAGACUUGAGCGCGGCGGUUCCCCCUUGCUUCUGCUUGGGUUACUCCGCCGUGUCCAGGCCAACAUCGGUUCUGGGGGUCGGUCAAAGGCCUUGGGAAUGUAUCUACCCACGGGUAGACUUAUAGACCAGGGUGUCAUGCGACCUCCCGGGACCGAGGAACGCGCUUCGGCUCGGAUGUUGGCGUAAUGGUUGUCAGCGACCCGUCUUGAAACACGGACCAAGGAGUCUAACAUCUAUGCGAGUGUUUGGGUGUCAAACCCGGAACGCGGAAUGAAAGUGAACGGAGGUAGGAAGCUUCGGCUGCACUAUCGACCGAUCCUGAAGUUUACGGAUGGAUUUGAGUAAGAGCAUAGCUGUUGGGACCCGAAAGAUGGUGAACUAUGCCUGAAUAGGGUGAAGCCAGAGGAAACUCUGGUGGAGGCUCGCAGCGGUUCUGACGUGCAAAUCGAUCGUCAAAUUUAGGUAUAGGGGCGAAAGACUAAUCGAACCAUCUGGUAGCUGGUUCCUGCCGA
rnacentral:rRNA from 1 species